AUUGAACGCUGGCGGCAGGCUUAACACAUGCAAGUCGAGCGGGGGAAGGUAGCUUGCUUCCGGACCUAGCGGCGGACGGGUGAGUAAUGCUUAGGAAUCUGCCUAUUAGUGGGGGACAACAUCUCGAAAGGGAUGCUAAUACCGCAUACGUCCUACGGGAGAAAGCAGGGGAUCUUCGGAUCUUGCGCUAAUAGAUGAGCCUAAGUAGGAUUAGCUAGUUGGUGGGGUAAAGGCCUACCAAGGCGACGAUCUGUAGCGGGUCUGAGAGGAUGAUCCGCCACACUGGGACUGAGACACGGCCCAGACUCCUACGGGAGGCAGCAGUGGGGAAUAUUGGACAAUGGGGGGAACCCUGAUCCAGCCAUGCCGCGUGUGUGAAGAAGGCCUUAUGGUUGUAAAGCACUUUAAGCGAGGAGAAGGCUACUCUAGUUAAUACCUAGGGAUAGUGGACGUUACUCGCAGAAUAAGCACCGGCUAACUCUGUGCCAGCAGCCGCGGUAA
rnacentral:rRNA from 1 species